rnacentral:rRNA from 1 species
CUGCUGCCUUCCGUAGGAGUCUGGGCCGUGUCUCAGUCCCAAUGUGGCCGAUCAACCUCUCAGUCCGGCUACUGAUCGUCGACUUGGUGGGCCGUUACCUCACCAACUAUCUAAUCAGACGCGAGCCCAUCUUUCAGCGAUAAAUCUUUGGUACCAAAAGGAUGCCCUUCCGGCACGUUAUGCGGUAUUAGCAGUCGUUUCCAACUGUUGUCCCCCACUGAAAGGCAGGUUGCUCACGUGUUACUCACCCGUCCG